GACGUAGGGCGCGAGCGUUGUCCGGAAUCAUUGGGCGUAAAGCGCGCGUAGGCGGCCCGGUAAGUCCGUUGUGAAAGUCAAAGGCUCAACCUUUGAACGCCGAUGGAUACUGCCGGGCUAGAGUCCGGAAGAGGCGAGUGGAAUUCCUGGUGUAGCGGUGGAAUGCGCAGAUAUCAGGAGGAACACCGGUGGCGAAGGCGGGUCUCUGGGCCGAUACUGACGCUGAGGAGCGAAAGCGUGGGGAGCGAACAGG
rnacentral:rRNA from 1 species